rnacentral:rRNA from 1 species
AUUGAACGCUGGCGGCAGGCUUAACACAUGCAAGUCGAACGGUAACAGGAAGAAAGCUUGCUUUCUUUGCUGACGAGUGGCGGACGGGUGAGUAAUGCUUGGGAAUCUGCCUUAUGGAGGGGGAUAACUACGGGAAACUGUAGCUAAUACCGCGUAAUAUCUUCGGAUUAAAGUGUGGGACCUUCGGGCCACAUGCCAUAAGAUGAGCCCAAGUGAGAUUAGGUAGUUGGUGAGGUAAAGGCUCACCAAGCUGACGAUCUCUAGCUGGUUUGAGAGGAUGACCAGCCACACUGGAACUGAGACACGGUCCAGACUCCUACGGGAGGCAGCAGUGGGGAAUAUUGCACAAUGGGCGCAAGCCUGAUGCAGCCAUGCCGCGUGAAUGAAGAAGGCUUUCGGGUUGUAAAGUUCUUUCAGCGAUGAGGAAGGUGCAUUAUCUAAUAGGUGAUGUAAUUGACGUUAGUCGCAGAAGAAGCACCGGCUAACUCCGUGCCAGCAGCCGCGGUAAUACGGAGGGUGCGAGCGUUAAUCGGAAUAACUGGGCGUAAAGGGCACGCAGGCGGUUGUCUAAGUCAGAUGUGAAAGCCCCGAGCUUAACUUGGGAAUUGCAUUUGAGACUGGGCGACUAGAGUCCUCUAGGGAGGGGUAGAAUUCCACGUGUAGCGGUGAAAUGCGUAGAGAUGUGGAGGAAUACCGAAGGCGAAGGCGGCCCCUUGGAGAGAGACUGACGCUGAGGUGCGAAAGCGUGGGUAGCAAACAGG